rnacentral:rRNA from 1 species
UACGUGGGGUGCAAGCGUUGUCCGGAAUUAUUGGGCGUAAAGAGCUCGUAGGCGGUUUGUCGCGUCGAAUGUGAAAACCCGGGGCUCAACCCCGGGCCUGCAUUCGAUACGGGCAGACUAGAGUUCGGUAGGGGAGUCUGGAAUUCCUGGUGUAGCGGUGAAAUGCGCAGAUAUCAGGAGGAACACCGGUGGCGAAGGCGGGACUCUGGGCCGAUACUGACGCUGAGACACGAAAGCGUGGGUAGCAAACAGG